ensembl:lncRNA
CGGGUGUGGAGAACCGGGUGUUUGUGCUGGACUGCUAUGUCGUCGUUGUUGUUGAAGAUGAGACACUGAGAUGCAGCGGGAGUGAGAGAAAAUAAAAGAGAUUGCAGUGAUAGAAGAUGCAGAAUACACAGACACUGCAAGAGUAAAAGGGAUGGGAUCCUUACUCCUCCUCUUAGUAAUCGCAAGGGAUCAACGUGUUCCAUGUGAUCAAAGAAAGGUGAAACUUCUGUGACAACAAGAUGAAAACAGGUUUGCACUGCAUCCUGUGGGAUAUUAGAAUGAGCUGCCAAGAAGCUAGAAGACAGGUCUUUCUAGACAAAAUAUCUAGACCAUGGAGCAUAUGGCAGCCUCCAAGGAAGACAACAUGUCUCAGUCUGCUGGAGAACUCUUCCCUUGCAGGCGACUUCUUUGGGAGAUGAAGGGAGAUGCCAGGGAUUUGGAUAACGUUCACUCAUCUCAGUCUUGGGGAAAAAUCUAGAUGGGCUGAUACGUGUUUGAGGUUGCCCUUGAAUGUGUAAGCUGCAGAGACAUACUGAUGAGAGCAAGGAUUGUGGGAAUGAGAACUGUCAAGAUUAGAGACAGGGCUGUGGUGCUGUGGACAUUGUGGAUGACCUCCAGGGGGACCGAACUCAUCAGAAAUCAGGUAUUAAAGGGCCGCUUCACCACUCCUGUCCCAUGUGAGAAAUGCAGGCAGAAAAUAAUUUUCCACGUAUCCGGACACACUUGUUCUUCAUCCAGAUGUCUUUCAUUACCAAGAUAAUUCUCUGAACAUGUGCAACAGUGCCUGGAAAUGCAACCUGAAAUUGGAAGAAAAUAUCAAGUUUUUAAAAGAUAUUUUUAUUUUAUUUUAUGAGUUUUUAAUGAACUGUACUGUGCUUGACAACAAAUGAAUACAGAGACUUUUAUCAGCUAUUUACCUAGCAUAUGUUUGCACAUUUAGCUUUCACAUUAGAGUCAUGCUUCCUAAUAGAUAGGUACAGAACUGUAACUGAACAGAAAUCCACUUUCAGGAUGUCCUUUUAAACACUCUCACUGUCCUUAGGUACACUGAACUUUUAAAGUAAAAUAAAAUAAAAAAGAUGAUCAGUAGCAGCACCAUCUCUAAGAUAGGAAUAGAGACUUUAAUAGCACUAAUUAUGUGCACGUAAACUGACAAAAUAUCCUGCUAAAUGAACGUGUAGGUGUCCACCUUAGAGUGUGAGCAGUUAAUUGCCUUCAUCACAGUUGGAGUAAUUGCACAGAUAUAUUUGUGUAUGGGUGUAAGGGUAUGUUUCACGCAUAAUAAUUGAAUCGACAUCUCUUACUUAUUUGCUUUCAGAGAUUUUGAUACACACUGCAGCACUGGGUAAGUCCUCUGCUGUAGCUCUUCCCCUCCUCUAUGUUAGAGCAUCCAUGCAGAAAUGUUUGAAAGAAUCAGUGUGGCCAUUGCUUGUCAGAGUCUCAAGUCUCAGAGUCUUGAGCUGUUAGCUAAGAACAUGCCAGAGCUGGAAACAUCUUCUUAAGACAGAAAUUUAACUAAGUUUAACUCAGUUGAUUUUCACCUAGAACAAAAAUGACUAUACCAGAGAUUCAAAAAGACAACCCUAACAGCCUUCAAAGUGAAACCAUUUGCUCUAACUGGAUAGACAAAAACUAACAAACAAAAACAAGCAAACAAAAAAAACAAAACAAAACCCUGCCAAUAUACUGCAUCUUGGUUUCAGAUUAAAUUCUUUGCAUUUGGUAAAAUAAAUCUAGCCUUUUUAAGUUAGAAAAUAUAUAUGUAUAUAAAUAUUUACAAAGGCUGCUCAGAAAGUAAUGCCUUCUAUUUUAUUAUGUUGGCCCAUGAAGUCAGAGGUGGAUGUUGGUGGGAAGGCAGUAGAGAUUGAACCUUCCUGCCAAUAUUCUGUUACUUCUUAUUGCCAUGCAACAGAUGACAGCAGAGGGGCAGUCUGACAAAAGGAUAUCUAACAUGGAAGUGUGUAUACAGUAAAGGUGUGUCACUGAAUUCCUCCAUGCGGAAGAACUGGCACCCACUGACAUUCAUCAAUGCUUGAGGAAUAUUUAUAGGGAACAAACAGUGGAUGUGAGCACAGUGAUGCAGUGUGUGAUGCGUUUCAGCAGUGGUGACAUUGAUGGGAAAGGUAAGCCACAUUCCAGAUGACCAUGCACAACUGUCAGAACACCAAAUGAAGAGCAUCUCAAUCAGCUCACUUGCACUAAUUGGCAGAUUAUGAUCAAGGAACUGUAUAUAGAGCUCAAUAUCAGGUUCAAUGCAUUUGAAACAAUGGUGGUAAUGUUGGAAUAUUGCUAAGUUUGAGCUAGGAGGGUCCCACGAAUUCUCACACAAGGAACAGAAAGAACACUGUGUCCAAGUUUGUUAAGAUCUAUUGGACUAAUACGACGCUGAAGGUGACAGUCUCUUGCAUCACAUCAUUACUGGUGACAAGAUCCGAACUCAAAACAGCAGUCUCUGGAGUGGUGAUAUGUGAAUUCCACAUGAAAGAAGAUGUUCAAGACAGCUCUCAGCAGAUAAGUGAUUGGGAUAGGGGUGAUUUUCUGAAUUUACUAGAACCCAAACAAACCUUCAACUCUGACUGCUACGUUGCAAUCCUGACUAAGCUAAAGUCUUGAACUUUCAGAAUUAGGCCAGAGAAGAAGAGAAGACAACUUCUCUCUUGCAAUGUGAUAACACCAGGUGCUAUAUCACUUUGUAGACCAUGGAGUAUAUUGCCAAUCUUGGCUGUCCUAUCCCACACACCACGUAGCCUAGAUUUGACACCUUCUGGCUUCCAUCUGUUUGGGCCAGUCAAAGAUGGACUGUGUGGGCAACAUUUUCCCAGCAAUACACCAUCAUAGCAGCUGUGAAAAAGUGGGUUACUUCUGCUGGUGCAGAUUUUUAUAAGUGCGGCAUGCAAGUUCUUGUUCAUCACAGAUAAAAAUGCAUAGGUAAUGGUAGCGACUGUAUUGAAAAAUAGUGUUUUGUAGCUGAGAAUUUGUUCUAUCAAGUAGUGUUAUUGUGUUAUUUGAUGUCAUUUCCAUGAAAACAAUGGAGGCAUUACUUUUGGAGUGACCUUUGUGUGUAUGUGUAUGUAUAUAUGCGCAAAAUUAUAUGUAAAUUGAACGGUUUUGCCUUUGUGAAGCUAGGUGAAAAACACUCUAGAAGCAUAAGCCACAGGAACAGAAGCUGAAAUAAGAAUCCAUUGAAAUUCAUACCUCGAGUUUAUACGUUUUUAGAAGUGUAUUUUUCCCUUUCAGACUGGUGAGCUGAGGUCUUUAAUUGACAAAGAUGACCCAGUGCCUCACCCUUUACCCUCUAAACUUAAUUUUAAGUAAAACUCAUAUGCUUCUCUCUAGUGGUUCCUUUUUAAUUGCCUUGAAUGUCUGAACUCUGUUAAAAUGUUUGGAGUUUCCAAGUCCAGUUGUACACAGAAAAAAUUGCUAGUUUGCAAGCUGUAACUGAAGUCAGAGAUUAGGUAUUGAUCUCAAAAGAAAAUUACUAAGGAUUGUGGGAGAUCUUGCUCUGACAAGAAAGGAUGACUUUUGAGGCCUCCAAAGAUGCAAAAUUCUUUCAAUGAUGUGCAUUAGUGCUAAUCAGUAUGUGUUGCCAUGGUUCAGUAGAAGUCAGUGCUGAACUUCACAAAACUCUUUCAACCUUUUCUCUCUAACUGUAUAAAUGUGAAAGUAACAAUAAAUCUUGUUGACAAUUACUUCCACAUCUAUUGGCAGUCAGUCAGGUGCAAUGUGAACAGCAUUGUGCACAAUAUGGGUAGCACAGCCAACACCUAUUAACUAUCUCCCUAGUUUCUCCUGUGACUUACAGAACAUGUUAUUUUUCCCCAGUGAGUAGCCCUUUCAAAUGUUGAAUUAGUAAUAUUAGCACCAAAUACUACUAAUUUGUCAGCCAGGCUGUGUUUUUCCAAAGUGUUCACAAUAGGGGCUGAUAACUGCUUUGCAGUUCAGCAGAGCAAAGAUGAAAAUUCAGAAACUUUCUAAAUCAUUUGUAUAAGACUCAAAGUAGGUUUUUGUUUGUUUGUUUGUUUGUUUUUGUUUUGUAACCACUAGAAUAUUCAAUAUGUGUGUUUAAAAAAGAAAAAAAGUGGCAUUUCAGCUUCACUCAGCAAGAUACUUAACUGCAUGGUAAUAUGGAAGUAUAUAUUUAGGUUCUUUGAAGAACCAGAGCUAGAAACAUUUUUAAUAGCAUGAAAUCUUUGUUCAAAGAACACAUUGUCAGGACCACCUUUGUAUUUUCAGAUUUUAGUGGCUAGCUUAACUAAUAUUUAUGAAGAAGUAAAUCUCUCUGCUAUAAAUAACAAUUUUCUAUUGUAUAUAAUGCAUUCAUUGCUUGAACAGUUUUCAUUGACAUCAGUAUGAAACCUGUGCAAAUAAUUUUGUAGCAUAUGAAACUGAAAAUCACAAAUGGUUGAGGGUUGAUAGUGUUACUUUUCUAUUCAGUCUUCUUAUGCAAUUCUUACAAGCAAGUGCACAAAUACUUUUAUGUGAAAGCAUACAUACAGAAAUAUGUGAAAACAUAAAUAGACUGACUAUCUAAUUUUCAUGAGUUUGUAGAUAUCUACCGUUGGUAAAAGAAUGGCAUUCAUUAGUCAACAGAGAUUUGCUGUGGACAUAUGAGAAGUUCAGUCAGCCUCUUUCCUUUCAUGAUAUGUCUUGUUUUCAACUCAUGCUUGGUUAAACCCAGGAUAUGAAUGAUAAGUAAGUAACGGUCUGUUACAGAUAAAACUGUCUAUGGUUUUUUCCAUUACAAGAUUCACAAAAGGUCAGCAUUAUGCUGAGUUAUUUAGUAUACGGAGGGAAAGGUAACCAGUUUGGUGACUAGGGAAGAUCUAUAGGAAGUCUUUGCCAGAAUAAAAGCUUAAAGGAAGUUUGUGAAUUGUGUGAUUAUGCAAGGAGUUUCAUCCAUAUGUGUACAGCUCUCUUUUUUAAAAAGAGAGAGGUUUUAAUCUAAUCAAAGAUUGGAUGACAUUACAGGAAUUUUGACUGUAGAGAGAGCUUAUGUUACUGAGCAGCUUUGUUAGCUUUCACUGCCUGGAAGUUUCCUCACUUCUAAGACCAGUCACACACUGGGAAGGGUGACUUCUAUGACUGCCAGUCAUCUCUUACAUGGACUAAUGAUUCAAUUCCAAUUUCUAAAGGAGUCAGAGCAGUCCGCAGUCUCCCUUGUCUGCGAGUCAAAAAUACGUGCUAGGUUUUCAGCUGAAUCAUAAAAUUCAUCAUGAAUUUUGAUAACAUUUUAGGAUGACUUUGUGCUGCUUUUAUGAGCUCUAAAAGCUGUAUUAUAAGAAAAUACAUAAUGAAGGAAGAAUUGUAUUUAUUGUAUUUAGUUCCUGAUAAAUCAAUGUUCGAAAAGAAAAGAAAGAAGAGAAAAGAAGAGAAGAGAAGAGAAGAGAAGAGAAGAGAAGAGAAGAGAAGAGAAGAGAAGAGAAGAGAAGAGAAGAGAAGAAAAGAAAAGAAAAGAAAAGAAAAGAAAAGAAAAGAAAAGAAAAGAAAAGAAAAGAAAAGAAAAGAAAAGAAAAGAAAUAAUAUAUUGCGAAUGAGGACUCUCAGACAAUACUGUCAAGUCAGAUAAUCAGCUGAGAGGUCAGAGUGCCUUGAGCUGAAUGGUGUCAGAGAUGCGGUGGAAGGUGCUUUGGGCUUGAUACAUCAUCUCUCUUCAGCCUCCCCAAGAAUUUUAAACAGGAAGGGCAAAAGAUGUUUCCAGGAUGAAUUCAUUCAUUCAUAUACAAAUACCCUAAGUCACAAAAAAGGUGUCUUAGCAACAACAGCAGUGCAAUAACGUUGAGUACACCAGGUCCUCAGUUGUACGCCACUCCCAACCAAACAACAAAACAAAACAGACAGAAACAACAACAACAACAACAAAAUGAACUUGAAAGAAGAAAUGGUCUGGUUGGGCUCUGGUAAUCCAUAUUUUAAAAAUUACAAGUGUCACAGGUAAUUUGAAGGCAGAUCAGGCAUCUUCUAAAUCAAAAUGUGUGGACCUCACUAGAAAAUACUACCAACAGUUAACAGUUAUAAAGGUAAAUAGGAACAAUUUCCAAUAGUUUAUUUUCAAAAGCAGUUAGUUGUUAACCCUAUUAAAAGUAAGUUAUGAUUUUCAAAAUGUCACGUCUUGUUUUUGUUUGCUUCAGCUUACAUAGAUGUUAUCUUCAUAAUAUGAUGACUGCUCUUUAAUAUUGACCAAUUGUCAUUGCACUUCACUGGCAAAAAAAAGAAAAAAAAAUCACAGGGUGUUAAGAUGAUUAAUGUAACUGUCAGGAAAAAUGUUAAUAAAUUUAUCUUAUCUACCUCAUAUACAAAGACAUAAUAUAUAUCAGGGUUUAUAUGCUUCAUUCACUUUGCAAAGCACAGCCUCUGACUUAAGUAAAUGUAUGCUAAAUUAUGAAUGUGAAAAGAAACAGAAAGAGGAAAAAGCAAGCUAUUAUUUUUUUUUUUAAUUUUAAAUCAGUCUUCAGAAACAAAUCUUUUUACCAUAUGUUUACACAAAACAUAGUCCUCACCCUGAUUUGAAGUUUUGAACAGCGCAGAGUUAUUAAUUAAAUUUUUAAUAAUUAAAAACAGUUUCUGUGAAAAGAAAAUCCAUGGAUCAAAAUAGAGAGAGAGGUGAUAUUGCAAUAUCCUGUGAGCAAACCUAGGCUUUGUGCCUUUUCCCCAUUGAUUAGAAUAAACUUUCAGCACAACCCUGGUUUGUUCCUUAGACAAGGAGCGUGGGUACCAGGCAGCUGUGUGGAAUCACUGCUGACCAGACUUUGCCUGUUGGAGCCUGUCCUCAGCAAUGUGUUCUGGGAGGCAACAUUUCUCUUAUUCACUGUGUAUAAUGCAAAAGGAGGACUCACUAGCUGUAUCAAGAAAAUAUACAGCACAUUUCAUUUCAAUUUUUUUUUUCACAAUAUUUUCAACUAAGAAGGGAACAUUAACAGAACAGAAAUGUCUUUAGGUUCAACAUCAUGUGGCAUACCUUCCCUCAGUCUUUUCCUAAGCACUUGGAGUUGGGCAUAUAUAACAAACAUAUUCUUGGUCCUCUUUCAGCAGACCUAAUGUGUCAAUAUGUAGAUAAGAUGAUAGGUGCAAUUUGGAACAGUGACAUUUUUGUUUUCCUUCUUUUUCCCCAGUGACUAAUUCACCCAGACAUUGCAACUGGUUAGUGACCAGAAGAGUUGAGUAACUCUGGUUGUACAUUUCAUAUAGUUUUAAUGGUUUUAGCCUCCUAGAUGUAUGUAUAAAACUCUGAAGAAUUUAUCCAGAUCAUACUUUGAAAGCAGCUUUUCUUCUCUGGUGCUUUGAAUGUUGUUGAUAGUGUGGAACACUUCUGAGCACUUGUUUGAGUGCUGUGCUGGAGCUUUCUGUUUCCAGUAAAAAACUGAUGGAGAUCAACACUUUUUUGACACUCCUUGUACCAAGUGCUUAUAAAGUGUUUAUAUCUAUAAUUGUGUCAAAUUAUGCUAAUUAAGUGCUGAAAGACACUAGUAAGUUGAAGUACUCAAAAAGUGCAUUACUCUGAGUGUCACCCGGGGGCUCUUCACAGCAGACACUUGGGGGACAAUUUUUUUCUUUCCAAGCACCUUUAGAGCACUUUGUAUUAAAGUGUCUUUCUGACAUUAAUUAAAUUAAAAAAGCAAGUGACAGUUAAGUGCACAUGAUUUACUCUAAUCUUUUGAAAUGCAAAUGUAUUUUAGACUAAAAUGCCCUUCCUUUUUUACAAUUCUCCGUUUUCCUCCUCCAUUGUCUCCCACACCUUUUUUUUAUUGAGUAAUCAGUUGCUAAAAACAGCUUUGAUAAAGGCUGGGAAUUAACUCAAUUAUGAAUGAUUAGGCAGAAAAAUUGAACGAUUCAAAGAUCAAAUAACAAUGAUAGGGUUUCUAAUAACCUUAUGAGAAAAGAUCAUUGCUUAGGGGUAAUGCUGUAGAGACCUGUGCUGCUCUCAGAUUUUUGUCUACCCCGUCUCCAGGGUUACUCAUUAAUUCUAUGCUGAAGAAUUCUAGGGCAGCUGCAGAAGACAAG